rnacentral:lncRNA from 1 species
GUCGUGAUUUCCAAUGCCAAAAAAUCUCUUUAACACAAAUAAAGGUGAUAAAUCUUCAUUUUGGCCUUUUCUGUGUGAACUAGUACGAUAAACAAUCGACUCAGCAUUUCAGUCUUGUACAAAGCAGGAUUGAUAAUAAAAUUCUAUAAACAUGUUUUCAACCCAAAUAUGCAUAUAAUUCACCACUGCAUCCUCCUCCUUGAAUCUCUUGCUUUGAAUUGUUUUGAAAAAUUCUGCCGAAGCCGAAGCACAACCCUUGAUGGGUUACUUCCUUUGAUAUUCAUUAAUACCUUUUUGUUCAUCGUAUCGGAAAUUUGAAAAAAAUAGGAGAGAGACGAGAAGUGUCUAUAAGUUUUUUAGCAGACCAAUGGGAGUAUGUUUCUUAAAAUUGAAC